CCCUACGGGGUGCAGCAGGCGCGAAACCUUUACAAUGCACGCAAGUGUGGUAAGGGAACCCAAAGUGCUUAGCUUUGCUAGGCUUUUGCCGAGAGUAAAUAUCUCGGAGAAUAAGCGGUGGGAAAGACUGGUGCCAGCCGCCGCGGUAACACCAGCGCCGCAAGUGGCGAUCCUUUUUAUUUGGCCUAAAGCGUCCGUAGCUGGUUUAGUAAAUCUUUUGUGAAAUUGUUUGGCUUAACCAAACAGCGUGCAGAAGAGACUGCUAGACUAGGGACCGGGAGGAGUCAGAGAUAUGCCGGGGGGAGCGGUAAAAUGCUAUAAUCCUCGGUAGAUCACCUGUGGCGAAGGCGUCUGACUAGAACGGGUCCGACAGUGAGGGACGAAAGCCAGGGGAGCAAACCGGAUUAGAUACCCGAGUAGUCCUGGCCGUAAACGCUGUGAGUUAGGUGUUGCAUAAUCUCCGUGAUUAUGCAGUGUCGAAGCGAAGGUGUUAAACUCACCGCCUGGGAAGUAUGGUCGCAAGACUGAAACUUAAAGGAAUUGGCGGGGGAGCAC
rnacentral:rRNA from 1 species